ensembl:lncRNA
CAUCCAGGAGGACGGACAAUCAGCGGGCCCCUUGGCAUGCCUGGGACAUGACUAUAUUUUACUUUUACGAAUUUAAACAACCCCACGUAGGGAAUGUCUACCGUCUUGGAUGGCAGAGUUCGAUGAGAAUUUACCCGCCCUCAGAGUAGCAUAGCCAGUGGCUGAAUUUGAAGCAGAGAAACACGUAUUUAAGAAAAUACUCCAUACUGGCUUAUCAUUCAUAAUUAAUGGCUCAUUAAUCAUUUACUCAAUAAGCAGUCUACUGGAACACUUAUGUGCCAAACACUCGCUGAGCUCUGGGAGCGAAGCCGUGUGACAUGCUCAUGUCCUUUACAUUUCUAGUGGGUAAGUUCACAGGGAGGAGCACACAGCAGUGAGUGUACUCUGGGCAGUGCACCUACGGACAGAAAACACCACAGGAAGUACCCUUAAACAACAUUUUGCUGAAAGACUUUUAUUUCCUGCAGUGAGCACAAUGGAUGUGGUAAUAAUCUGUGAGAGCAAGAAAAUGCUUCUGCUGUUUUAGGAUCAAAUGGGAGUUGACCUGAAGAGACUCAAAGGACAGGUAGAUAAUACAAGGCUGUGAAGUCAGUGGGACCACAUCACAAAGGCAUUCAAGUCCACGAGCCAACCUAGAAGCAUGUUGCUGGACUCUUCAUCGAGGGCUUGGAAUACGGCUUCCUUUCCCGGCCUAUGUGCUUAUGCCCACAACCGCCCCUCUUCAUCGCCUACUAAAGAGGAGAUAAUAGCAUUCAGCCCGCAUACAUCACCAGGUGGUUGCAAUAAUUUAAUUUUCCAAUAUCUAUAAAGCAUUUGACAACUAUAAAUCACUGGAAAACAGCAAACAACUUAACCCAUAUCGAGCCUUCCUUAUGGCCCCAUGUUUAAUUUAUGCGGUCUCUCUCGGAACUUAGGGACAUGCAUUUCAAUCUAUUUUCGGGAAUUCGACUUAUCGUUUUCUGUUGGGAAAAUACACCCUUUCCCUGCCAUCCUAACGUAUUGAGAGUGUGGCUUAUGGGAUUGUUGACCGGCUGUCUGUAGCAAAUAAAAUCUAC